UACGUAGGGCGCAAGCGUUGUCCGGAAUUAUUGGGCGUAAAGAGCCCGUAGGCGGUUUGUCGCGUCUGCUGUGAAAGCCCGGGGCUCAACCCCGGGUCUGCAGUGGGUACGGGCAGACUAGAGUGCAGUAGGGGAGACUGGAAUUCCUGGUGUAGCGGUGAAAUGCGCAGAUAUCAGGAGGAACACCGAUGGCGAAGGCAGGUCUCUGGGCUGUAACUGACGCUGAGGAGCGAAAGCAUGGGGAGCGAACAGG
rnacentral:rRNA from 1 species